rfam:Plasmodium berghei strain K173 genome assembly, chromosome: 13
UGGUUAAAAUACACUCAGCGAUUUAAUUUUGUUAACUCAUUACAAUCGUUAUUUAUUUUUAACCUAAAAAAAUCGAUCUUGAAUAAAUUAUUUUAGGAAUAGUUAUCCUUGUUGUUUAUCUUUUGGUAGGCUGCAUGGGUAAUUAUUACUAGAGUAGUAAUUGUUCUUGGAAGAGCCAUUCCAUAUUCCCAACGUUUUCAACGCCAGUAGGCAGCUUCUCGUUAAGUAGUGUUGAAUAUUGUUGAAUAAACGGAUUGGUACACCAGCAAAAAAUAUGCAUUCGUAUAUUGCUAUAUAUGUUAUAUUC